UUGCAAGACCCUCAGCAGGAGCCGCCAUGGUGGGAAAAGCCUUUAUUUUAGGCAGAGUCGUCAUGCUCUCCUCCACCCCGUUCACCUCCAGCCAUCGUACCCAGAGUCAGGACAAGUUCAGCGAAGACUCAUUCCUCUACUCAUCCAGAUCAUCAGCACUUCUCCAUCUUCCUCUCACCUCAUCUUCACCACCAGUGUCUAUUCAUCACCCUCCUUAAAUCAUACCAUCUCUACGGGGUCUAACUGCCAAAGACUUUCCAUAUUUUUAUUCUUGUGCAAGUUAAUAAAUAUUGUUUUACUAUAACAGCAAGUCUCUCCUGAUUGAAGUAAAGCUACUGAAGUUCUGUACGGGACAGCUCACCUAAAUGCAAGCUACAUAUUCUCUCCAAUAUAAUGGAACUAGAUGGCACUCAGCUUGUGGUGCUCAAAGUGCUAAAAAAAACCCAUACAUUUGAAAAACUCAACAGCAAAGUUGCUUCCCAGAAAUCAUGACCCAGUUAAUCAAAAUAAUCCAGAGACCUUGUUGUGAGCAGUUUCUAGUUUAUAUACACACAAAUAUAUGCAUGCUUGAUACAUAUUCUACAUGGUGCAUUUUAUAAAUAUCAAAUUGUAUAUCAUAUUAUGUGCACUAGUUAACACCUCAGAUUAUAAGAAAGGAUGAAACUCAUGAGUAAAUCAGGUUACAGUAGUAUAAUAGCCCCAUAUUUUUAUGUAGAUGUCUUGCCUAUCUAUUAGCUUGUAACAGUCUUUCUUAGGAGGAGAUUUUAGCCAUUUCUUCAUUUGGUUUCAAAAUUGGGAUUUGAGCCCAUCAAGUUCCAAUUCGGAAGAUCUUCAUGAAAUCCCACCCCACUGUUGAAACUAUAUAUUGUCUGUAUUUGUUCUGCAGCAGCCAUUUAAUGUAUUUACAUUCAGCCUCUUUUUUUAGCAGUUUUCUUUCAUGCACCAUGUCCAUGCCAGAUUCAAUUACUUAUUAGACACGAGGGGUUCACAGGGAAUGAUGCAACAUGUAAUCCAGUUUAUCUUUGUUAGUUUCAAAGGUUGAAUGAUCAGUUUUGGCAUCUUGAAUGUAAUUUCACAAAGCAACAUUUUGUGUGAAGAAAAGUGCUGUAUAAUCCUGAUACAAGAUAUAGACUACCAACUCAUGUAAUUUACUAUGUAGUGAGUCAGUGUUCUUUUUCUCCUCAGGGAAACACUUGAUGUAUUGACAUACAUGUGCUCUUAUAUUUUGUCAUAAUAAAAGUCUUUCUGGGGUCUUUUC